UGUCAUGGCUCAUUUCCGCUUCCGUGUCCUUGGUUGCACUCUGUGGUAUCACGCUGCAAAAGCAUCCAGGAAAAAUGGCAAAAUUAAGUAAAGAGACCAAACAGCGGCUGCAGCAACUGUUCCAGUGUGGACAAUUCGUCAUCCGAUGGGGAUUUAUUCCUACAGUGCUGUACUUGGGCUUCAAACGAGGAGCAGAUCCAGGAAUGCCGGAGCCUUCAGUCUUGGGUUUACUUUGGGGUUGAAGAAGGAUGACGUGCACCUGCGUCAACAACCUCCACCCGAAGACCACGACGAGUUGGCCACAUGAAAGUCAAUGUCAGUAUAUGAAGUGUCAAUUUUGUCUGAGAUAUUUAUUUGUUAUUGUUACGACAUUGUCUUGAAGUCUGUUCCAUGUUUUUGUCAAUAAAUGUCUGACAGUAAAGCCCAUAAGUGGCCUUACGAUA